rnacentral:rRNA from 1 species
UACGUAGGGUGCGAGCGUUAAUCGGAAUUACUGGGCGUAAAGCGUGCGCAGGCGGUUUGCUAAGAGAGAUGUGAAAUCCCCGGGCUCAACCCGGGAACUGCGUCCGAUACUGGAAGGCUUGAAUCCGGGAGAGGGAUGCGGAAUUCCAGGUGUAGCGGUGAAAUGCGUAGAUAUCUGGAGGAACACCGGUGGCGAAGGCGGCAUCCUGGACCGGUAUUGACGCUGAGGCGCGAAAGCCAGGGGAGCAAACGGG